UUAAAUUGAAGAGUUUGAUCAUGGCUCAGAUUGAACGCUGGCGGCAGGCCUAACACAUGCAAGUCGAACGGUAACAGGAAGAAGCUUGCUUCUUCGCUGACGAGUG
rnacentral:rRNA from 1 species